GAAAGAAUUACCUAAAAAUAAUGAGGUCAACAAUAUACACAUAUAUAUCUGUCAUCUCCAUUUUUGUUUCUCCCCCUCUCUCAUUUUCAUCCCUCUCAAACUCUUUUUUUUUUUUUUUUCCCUCCCACUCUCUCCC
rnacentral:ribozyme from 1 species